GAUUGUUCUCAUUUCAGAUCAUCCAUAUUUUGUUGGUGUCCAAUUUCAUCCAGAGUUUUCUUCUAGACCAAUGAAGCCUUCCCCCCCAUACCUGGGACUGUUACUUGCAGCAACUGGGAACCUGAAUACCUACCUGCAACAGGGUUGCAAACUGUCUUCCAGUGAUAGAUACAGCGAUGCCAGUGAUGACAGCUUUUCGGAGCCAAGGAUAACUGAGUUGGAAAUAAACUGAAAUGAAUAUAUGACUAGAAAUAAUGGGGACUGCCCACGAGGCUUCUGAAGUAAUCGAAAUCAAGAUGAAGGAGCUAGUUGAAGAAAUCACCACAUUCUAAUAGAAUCACUCUGUUCUCCACCAGAGAUGGGAUGGAAAGCCUCAAAGGGAAUCUAAUAAUCUAUAUUUUCAUGCACCAGAAGCAAAGGGGUAGUGUUCUUUUCCCUCCACAGGUAGCCUUUGGUACGUCUUAAUUUCUGUAGCUGAUUAAACUUUUCCCAACAAUCU